AUUUGAUGAUAGGGGCAGCUUGCACAUAAUUUCUUAAAACAUUCCCAGUAUUCAUGUAAGGAUUCCCCGUUGUACUGCCUUACACUACAGAUUUCCUUUCUUAUGUU
rfam:Nelumbo nucifera unplaced genomic scaffold scaffold00023, whole genome shotgun sequence